rnacentral:tRNA from 1 species
UAGCCUGGUGGUUAAGGCUAUGGAUCGCCAAUCCGAAGACGGCGGGUUCGAUUCCCGU